GGUUUAAUUCGAAGCAACGCGAAGAACCUUACCUAGGUCUUGACAUCCCGAUUGCUUGUUUCUAGAGAUAGAAAGUUACUUCGGUACAUCGGUGACAGGUGGUGCAUGGUUGUCGUCAGCUCGUGUCGUGGGAUGUUGGGUUAAGUCCCGCAACGAGCGCAACCCCUAUUGUUAGUUGCCAUCAUUCAGUUGGGCACUCUAGCGAGACUGCCGGUAAUAAACCGGAGGAAGGUGGGGAUGACGUCAAAUCAUCAUGCCCCUUAUGACCUGGGCUACACACGUGCUACAAUGGUUGGUACAACGAGUUGCGAGUCGGUGACGGCGAGCUAAUCUCUUAAAGCCAAUCUCAGCUCGGAUUGUAGGCUGCAACUCGCCUACAUGAAGUCGGAAUCGCUAGUAAUCGCGAAUCAGAAUGUCGCGGUGAAUACGUUCUCGAGUCUU
rnacentral:rRNA from 1 species